rnacentral:rRNA from 1 species
AUUGAACGCUGGCGGCAGGCCUAACACAUGCAAGUCGAGCGGUAGAGAGAAGCUUGCUUCUCUUGAGAGCGGCGGACGGGUGAGUAAUGCCUAGGAAUCUGCCUGGUAGUGGGGGAUAACGUUCGGAAACGGACGCUAAUACCGCAUACGUCCUACGGGAGAAAGCAGGGGACCUUCGGGCCUUGCGCUAUCAGAUGAGCCUAGGUCGGAUUAGCUAGUUGGUGGGGUAAUGGCUCACCAAGGCGACGAUCCGUAACUGGUCUGAGAGGAUGAUCAGUCACACUGGAACUGAGACACGGUCCAGACUCCUACGGGAGGCAGCAGUGGGGAAUAUUGGACAAUGGGCGAAAGCCUGAUCCAGCCAUGCCGCGUGUGUGAAGAAGGUCUUCGGAUUGUAAAGCACUUUAAGUUGGGAGGAAGGGUUGUAGAUUAAUACUCUGCAAUUUUGACGUUACCGACAGAAUAAGCACCGGCUAACUCUGUGCCAGCAGCCGCGGUAAUACAGAGGGUGCAAGCGUUAAUCGGAAUUACUGGGCGUAAAGCGCGCGUAGGUGGUUAGUUAAGUUGGAUGUGAAAUCCCCGGGCUCAACCUGGGAACUGCAUUCAAAACUGACUGACUAGAGUAUGGUAGAGGGUGGUGGAAUUUCCUGUGUAGCGGUGAAAUGCGUAGAUAUAGGAAGGAACACCAGUGGCGAAGGCGACCACCUGGACUGAUACUGACACUGAGGUGCGAAAGCGUGGGGAGCAAACA